AUCCAUGUGGCUUACAUUACUCGUAAGGUCUAUGGUACAUUAAAUUGUCUAAUACACAGAAGAAACAUACUCUCUACUUCAACGCGUAAACUACUAGUCAUGACUACCAUAAUUCCAAUUGUUGAAUACUGUUCCAUAGUUUUGAUUGACUUAUCCAAAAGGCUAGACUACAAACUUCAACACGAGAUGAACAUAUCACUCCCUACAGGCAUUCAUUAAACUGGCUCACGGUUAAAUCUAAACGAAUGUACUCGUUAGCGUGCUUCAUCUACAAACUUCUAAAAUCAGG